AGAACGCCUCAAGUAACGCCGACCUGAUGGUUAGGGCGGAGGGACCCGGUUCUUCCAGGACACAAACCAGCCUCCCCUUAGGCCCAAGUGGUGGAUUCCAGAAGGAAGAACUUGCUGACGACGACAAUCAGCUUGCAACAGCGGCGGCGAGCUGCGCGUGGCUGCAGGUCUCUAGAGUCCACCCCAGGCCCUUUCCCGACCACCUCUGGGGGCGCUGGCGCUGUCCUCUGUCUGUUGUGCGAGGAGUCCCCAGGAGUUUCACCGGCCUGAGAGGGAAAAGGGGGCCUUCGACCCUCUUCAGAAAGUCCUUUCCUUUCCACGAGUAACACCUUCAUCAGAUGGUUCCAAGAAGUGACAAGUUGAAGGUCAUGAUCCUUUUGCUGACACAGAGCCUGGCACAUGGAGGCACCAAAUGCAUGUUAGUCUAGGCACUGUGGAGGAGCUCAGAUUGUGUUUGUUGAUUGACUGAGUGAGCAAAUGAAGAACGACUAAACCAAGCACAAAGCUGGGCGUCCUAAGGUGGAGCUGGGCUAAGGAAAGUGACUGUCUCUAGGGCCUUCACAAUUGAGGCAGGACCUUAUCCACCAUUUGACCAGGGUGAGGAACUGUGCAGGGCACCCAGGUGUGACCCAACCAUGUCCAUUGUUCCUCUCUGUCCCUUUGAUGGACAGCCUGUACCCACGACACUCUUUCCAGAUGCUGCCUGCAUCCUAGUUCCCUGUCCUAUCACCUCUGCAUGGAAAGAUGUGGAGUUGGCCACAUUGAUCCCAACACCAAUGGGAUCACCUGAGGAUGGAUCUGGUGACUGACCUUGUGCCUUCUCACAGUACAGGCUUUGGGAUCCACAGCAACCCAGGCAGAGUUUGUAACAGUGCAGGUUCCCAGGCCCCAUCCCAGACUGCCUGAGUCACUCUGGGCCUGAACCCAGGAAGAGUUAACCAUCUGGAGACUGUAGAUUGUAACAAUUUCCUUGGGUGACUUCCAGGCAGGCUAAAGUGUAAGAAAGGGUGCCAUGAAUCAGCAAAACAGCCAGCACUUCAACUUGCAACCUGAGCAUCCCACAGGGGUCCCAGCCAUCGUAGUGCCAGCUACAUUUGCUGAAGUGUGAGGCCUGGACUGCAGGCAGGCUCCAGGCCAACCCUUCCUUGCAUGACUUGCUCAGGGAUCUGUAUGACAUGCUGGUGCCAUUCUCUCCAUUUUACAGAUGAGGGACCAGAGGCCCAGAGCACUGAAGUACCUAGCUAAAAAGCUGGAACACCAUAUUACCCUGCCUCCCUGACAGCUUUCCUCCAUCCAAGUGGCCCAACUGUGGUUCAGAAAAUACAGCCUCAUUAAAG
rnacentral:lncRNA from 1 species